AUUAUCUUUAGUUAGCAGCAGCAGUCCCGGGAGUUUAGGAUCACAUUCGUGAUCACUUUGGAGCACAGCCCCAAGGACAGCAGGCUGGCAAGGCAGAACUGGAAGUGCCUGUAGUGGAGAAAGUAGGGAAUAAAAACAACAAGUGGCAUGGGACAAGAGAGGAAGGGAUUAUUUAGGUCAGCCUUUAUGAAGAAAUUGAACACCGAAGUAAAUGAAUUCCAGAGAAUACUAAACAGCCUCCAAAUUGCUUUCAGUAGUCCCAACACAGAUUACCGCAUGACGAGGAGUGGGAAAUUAGAAUGCAUAUGCUUUUAGAGAUACGUUAUUAACCAAACAACUAUUUAUGGCUCUCGUUUUCACAGCAGCCCCACAGAGACCAGCCCCCAAGGCCUGCUGCCCAGCGCCCGCCGGGCUGCGCAUUCGGGUUGCCACAGCAACGCGGCGGCGGCUCAAGGCAGCCUGCAGGCGCGGGAAGGCCCGGUGCUGCGCCCACUGCUGCCUAUUGCAGCAGGCAUCGGGAUCCUGAAGGCUUGUGUCCUGUGCCAUUGUGUUUCAAGAGACCGUUAGGAGAGACAUUCACUCCCACAGCUUCUCGGCUGCCGACGUCCCACGCAGCUCAUGUAGCGCACAGCAGCAGUGAGCUGAAGGAACAGGUCUGCUCAUCUUGCAUUAAGACUGUAUGGUACCAAGCUAGCAUCAGCAGAGUUAGGAACGGUCAAGAAGCCAAGAAAGGGAACAAGAUGGACCUUCUCAAAUGAUUACAAGGUAUAUAUGCAUUAGUAAACCACAUUACAUCUGGGAGGAACAUUACCGUGCUCAGCUGCAAGGAGCAGGGGCAUUUCACUGCAAGAUACAAAGAAAACCUCAAAUACUGACUGAAAAUAAAACAUUUUCAUUUCAUUCAUUCAUUCACAU